GCAAGUCUCGUAAAUUUCACGAUUGCGAGCCACGCUUCACGCAACCGUGUUUGCGUACUUGUGUUUCGAGUUGCGUGGUCGUGCGAAGGUGCGAAGUUAUGUGGUUUCAAAAUUAAAUCAAUAUGGCUACUGGGUGUAAAAGAUAAAUCUUAUUCUAUCUGUUCUUAAUGAGUUUUAGAUAAUUUUAGUUGUAUUUCUUUGUAAUUUUGUGUUGUACAAAGAUUAAUUUAACAUUUUCUCUGGAAGUAUUAAUUUAGAAAGAUAAUAUGCUUCAUUGGUGUUGUGUUUUGAAGUGUGAAAUGUGAUAAAGUCAAGAUAAAGUUCACUUUUAAACUGAACUAAAUAAGGUAUCUGAGAGACAACAAUGGUUAAAUGCAAUACAAUGUACGGGUUUUACUAGCGAAAUGAAAAUUUCCCUGUCCUGUCUGCUGUAAUCAUUUUAUAUCUGGAAAACCAGCCGACUUAAUCGAUAAUAGCAAUCUCCAGAUUGGGUUCCUUCAAUAAAUAUGGUCUAUAAACACAAUGAAAUAAGUUCCCCAAAAUCUAAAAUGGAGUGGUAUCAAAGGAGAAUUAAAGGGAAAAAUAUUCAUAUUGAAAUUAUUUAUAAGGCACUGGACUGUCUUAAAUUCUACAAUAAUACUAGGUGGGUAAAUGAUUUUAGACAUUUUUCAUUAAGAGUAGAUUAAGAUUAAGUAGAUUUUCAUUCAGUAGAUUUAAGACUUGUUUACACGGGUAGAGUAAUGAUGCAAGUACUUGAUAGAGUAGAGUAACUCUACCUGUAAAAAUUAUAAGCACAGUAGAAUAGCUGGUAGAGUGUAUAGUUGGAGUUAAAGUAGAGUGACUAGCAACCUAUGGCAAAGUAACUACUCUAUGACCACCACUACUGCCAAAAUGUCUACUCGGCUGCACACUCUACCCAUGGAACACGCUCAAUUAUGGCAGAAUAGAGUAGGUAGGAGAGUACAUGGGGGUGCUGUCAUUCUGGCUGGAAUUGUGUUUUGUGUAAAUAGUGAAAAUGAAGUUCACCGAAGAUGAAACUUUAAAACUUGUAGAGCUAUAAUACAGCAAAUACCAGUGUUUAUGGAAUUUAGGUAGUGUAUGCUACAGAAAUAAAAGUUUGCAGCAAGCUGCGGAGGAUGAAAUCGUCGAAAGAAUGGCAAAGGGGGCUUUGGAGUAAACGAGCUUCAGCAAAAAAUUAAGAAUUUAAGGUGCACUUAUAAUCAAGAGUGUUUAAAAAUACAAAAAUCGGUUUCACUAUACUAGCAUCAGUACUAUACUUGUACUCUCCUCAUGUGAAUGGUAUCAAGCCAUUUUUGGUAGAGUACUACCACUACUCUACUCUCCUCAAAACUCUACCCAUGUAAACAAGUCUUUAGAAACAGUGGAAAAUGAGGUAGCUAGUAGAGUAGUAGUAGAGUAAAAUAUACUGGUUUAGCAAAUUACUAUGUUUUAAGGUAAUACAGUAGCGAUAAACAGGUAGCCAAAACGUGUUCCAAGAUUGUCACUGUAAUUUUGAAUAUUUUUUUGGGGGAUUUGGCACACGUAUUCGUAAAAUAAUAAAGAAUGGCGGUACAGAGCCCAAUUUGAAAAAUAUAUUAAUAUGUGGAAAUUACUCUGUAAUUAUACAAUAUUUAAAAAACGAGCCUGUACCGCCAUUAAGAAGAACAAAAAAAUACACUUUCUUCAAAUAAACUUUUUUAUCCAAUGCCUAGAUUUUGUGUAAUUUUGGAACUACUAAUGAAAUAAAAAAUUUUAGUAGUUCCAAAAUAACACAAAAUCGGAUAAAAAAGUUGUAUUUGAAAAAAGUGUAUUUUUUUGUUCUUCUUAAUGGCGGUACAAGCUCGUUUUUUUAUAUUGUAUUUAAUUACAGAGUAAUUUCCACAUAUUAAUAUAUUUUUCAAAUUGGGCUCUGUACUGCCAUUCUUUAUUAUAUUACGAAUAUGUGUGCCAAAUAUCUUGAAAAAAUAUUCAAAAUUACAGCCGCAAUCUUGGAACACAUUUUCGCUACCUGUUGAUCGAUACUGUUUCCUCUUAAGAUAGUUUUAAUAGUUAUUUAUGAUAUAAGUAUUAAAAGUACAAUUUUAAGACGCGCAUGUGAAAGUUAACUUGAAAAAAUAAUUAAUUAUUUAUAUGGGAAAUAAGCCACAAUUAAAAUGAAAAAAAUAAUUUUAUUAAUGUUUUGACUUCCACAUCAGAUGUCAUUGUCAAAAUACAAAAUAUUCAUUAUUAUUAGGUUUGUUCUAGCAAACAGUCAAACUAGUCAAAAACUAUCAGCAAACAGUUGGUCAGUAAAAGAACAUAAUACAGUCACCAGUGCGAUCCCCUCUACUCGCGCUGGUCCACUAUUCGCUGAUGGUUUCAAACUGAUGCUAGAACAAACCUAUUAUUAUUAUGCAUAUCAUUAUCUGUAAAUAAUAUUUCUUCUGAUUGUUAAUUGUAAAGGAUAGAAAAAUUACCAUUUAUUUUAUUUUUUUUAGAAUCAGCUGAGAGAAGUGGUCUACAAAAAACCAGGAAGGAAACGGAAUAUGUGGCUACGAAAGGCAAAAGAAAGGUUUACAAAGCAAAUGUGACACAUCUUUUUGAAAUAUUUAGGAAUAUCAGUAAAUUGCAUUGAAAAAAUGUAUGAAAAGAUUUUGUUCAAUAAAAAUGUUUAUAUUUA
rnacentral:lncRNA from 1 species